AAACUCAAAUGAAUUGACGGGGAGCACCACAACGGGUGGAGCUUGCGGUUUAAUUGGAUUCAACGCCGGAAAUCUUACCGGGACCGACAGCGAUAUGAAGGCCAGGCUGAAGACUUUGCCGGAUUAGCUGAGAGGUGGUGCAUGGCCGUCGUCAGUUCGUACUGUGAAGCAUCCUGUUAAGUCAGGCAACGAGCGAGACCCACGCCCACAGUUGCCAGCGUACUCUCCGGAGUGACGGGUACACUGUGGGGACCGCCGCUGCUAAAGCGGAGGAAGGAAUGGGCAACGGUAGGUCAGUAUGCCCCGAAUAUCCCGGGCUACACGCGAGCUACAAUGGUUGGUACAAUGGGUAUCUACCCCGAAAGGGGAUGGAAAUCUCCUAAAGCCAAUCUUAGUCCGGAUUGAGGGCUGCAACUCGCCCUCAUGAAGCUGGAAUCCGUAGUAAUCGCGUUUCAACAGAACGCGGUGAAUACGUCCCUGCUCCUU
rnacentral:rRNA from 1 species